GACGAACGCUGGCGGCGUGCCUAAUACAUGCAAGUAGAACGCAGUUGCGAACGGGUGAGUAACGCGUCGGUAACUGCCUGGUAGCGGGGAAUAACUAUUUGAAACGAUAGCUAAUACCGCAUACUACCCGAUUGACCUUCGUUGUAUUAUCUAGUUGGUGGGGUAACGGCUCACCAAGGCAACGAUACAUAGCCGCCCGUCAGGGGUUGUCGGCCAAACUGGGGCUGAGGCACGGCCCAGACUCCUACGGGAGGGAGCAGGAGGGAAGCUUUGGCAAUGGGGUGAACCCUGACCGGGCAACGCAGAGUGAGGGAAGAAGGUUUUCGGAUCGUAAAGCUCUGUUGUUAAGGGAGCGGUACUUAACCAGAAAGGGACGGCUAACUACGUGCCAGCAGCCGCGGUAAUAC
rnacentral:rRNA from 1 species